UACGUAGGGGGCAAGCGUUGUCCGGAUUUAUUGGGCGUAAAGAGCGUGUAGGCGGCCUGACAGGUCUGCUGUGAAAACUCGAGGCUCAACCUCGAGAUGUCGGCGGAAACCGUCUGGCUAGAGUCCGGAAGAGGAGAGUGGAAUUCCUGGUGUAGCGGUGAAAUGCGCAGAUAUCGGGAAGAAUAUCCGUGGCGAAGGCGGCUCUCUGGUACGGUACUGACGCUGAGACGCGAAAGCGUGGGGAGCGAACAGG
rnacentral:rRNA from 1 species